rnacentral:lncRNA from 1 species
UCAAUUAUAUAAUUAAUUUAUAUAUACUUGCACAAUAAUAACUAAUUGAGAAGGUUCAUCACGGGAGAUUAACGAUCUUGCAACUCUUUCUGCGUAUUAAAAUGUUGAAGAUCAUAGGAAAAGGAAAUUGCAGGAGAAAAAGAAGUAAAGCAGAAAUGAAAAAAUACGAGUGCAUGCAUAUUUAUAAUGUAUACCCAUAUGAAUAUACGUAUACAUAAUAUAAUAACAUCUCAAUAAAUUAAACACAUGCUAAAGUACAACGGUAUAUAACAAACCAAUGAAGUGGCUGCCAAGCUCAUACAUGGCAUAAAUAUAUAAUCUCAACUCUAAAAAAUGUUAAAACGAAAUACUCGAACUGGUAGCUAGUGCAUGUCCCACCAAUCUACUACGAUAUGUAUGCCGAUCACUUCCACAAAUAUAUAAGUCGAUAAAUAACGCAGAAGAAAAACAAUAUUAUAUAUAUAUCUGCGUGUGUAUAUGUAUAUAUAGGUUAAUUAAGGACUAGUUGUAGCAGGAGGAGGCGAGAGAAUUGGGAUAGAGGGGAUUGUAGUUGGGAUGGCGGGGAGAGAAGGCAGAUUGCUUGGUAGUGGAGGCAACGUCAGCUGUGGGAGAUUGUUGGGAAUUGUAGGAAGUGAAGGCAGACUCGGCUGCGGUAAAUUAGGCAUUGAAGGCAACGGUGGCAGAGUUACUUGAGGACGAGGAAAACUCGGCAAUGGUGGCAGCUGCAGGAGAUGACGAGCUGCAGAGCCUAAGUUUAUAUUUGAACAUAAUAAAACAAUAAACGAAAUUAACAUGAAAACAGAAGGAAAAGAGGCCAUGAAUGCAACUAUUAGGAGAUGAGAUUUUUGAGGAUUAGUUGGUUUGCAUGGAAGAAUUGGAGGAGAUCUUUGGGUUUAU